UGCAGCGGCGGCCGGGCCGGGGCUCCUCGCCCCGCAGUGGCUGCGUGCUGUUUUUGUACCGGGCCGGGAGGAGAGGCGGCUGCACCCCACACACCCUGCAUCCAUCCGUCCGUCCGUCCAUCCGCCCGCGUGCGGGCAGCGCCUGUGUGUUUGUGUGACAUUGCGGCGCACACGAGCCGGCGCCGCCGGCCCCUAGCACGCAGCCCCCGGGGCUCCUGGCACGCCCCGGCUGCGGCAACCCCUCCUCCGCCCCCGGAGCCCUCCCCGGCAGGGGCAACACGGCGGCCUCGCUUCUCCUCCUCCCUCCUGGCGGCGUUUGAAUUCCUUGGCUAGCACCAGCCAGCAUGGACAGAGAAGUCUGAAAAGUAAUCUGGCAAAACAGCACGACGCCCCAAAGAAAGCUGCAGCCUCCUGGGGACACAGAGCACAGCACAUUGUAACUACAGCAAUAGACUCAACUGUGAAAGAUCUCUAUCAGGCAUCACAGAGAAUUUGAGGCAGCUGGCAGUUAUCAGCUGAAGCAGGUAGUCAGUAGACAUGUAGAAGAUAAAUAGAUAAUAGAAAAACAAUCUGGAAACCUGGGAAAGAUUAUAAACCUCUCUUCUAGAAGACUACAUCUAUAUCCCUCAAGAAACUCAAGGUGUGGCAGUAAUUCAUUCAUGGACAGAUGUAACCAACAGAUUUACAUGAGUGAUCAUACCGGACCAAUAUAGAACGAGAGCUGACAAGGAAAGACAUAUGGAUGUGUAUGGAUUUGUAUGAAUUUGGGUGGCAAGCAUAGCAGAAAAGGUAUCUGAAGGACACUGUAUUAAACAUUCUGGUAAGGAAUAUGACUGUAUUGAUAUUUUAAGUCGUCAUUGAAGAUUUUUUUGUCUGGUACAUAUUAUGUACCACAUGCUCCAGAUCCAAACAAAUAAAAAAUCACUGCAUGCCAAGGUUGUCCUAAGAGAGAAGUCUGGGAUCAGAUGGAGAAACAUAUUGCCAAACAACCAGUCAUCCAGCUAAACAUGAAAAGAGACUAAGAUAACUCUAAUAUCAAGGAAAUGAAAUUUCAGCCAAUGCUUAAGUUUCAUCAAAGUUAAUAGCAGGGUUCCCUUAGUGUGGACUGUGGAAAUUACUUCAGCAUUGCAGUUAACUCCAAGUGGAUAUAUCACACCAGUCCAGCAGAUCAUAAAUCGCAGGAAAGGUAAAAAAAAAAAAGUGAUUACAGGAUGCCUUACCAUCUCAUGAUUACUAAAUAGGCUGAGAAGGAAUUGCUGAGAGAAGAUAAACAAGUUUUCCCUCUCUCAGAAGUCACUCGCAUUUCUCCAUCUUGGCGUAUCUUUCAAUAAAAAAGCUCUGAGGAAGUGUAUGUAUGUAUGAGUGUACAUAUACAUAUAAAAUGCCAAAUGUACAGAGAAGUACUGCAUUACAUUCAGUAUAAGCAAAAACACCGAUGCUUAAUACCUUCGGAAUCACAUUUGGUCAAAGAACACUUAAAUUUAGCAAAAUCUUACUGAGGAAAGUUUGCUUCCUUAUGAAUAUGUUAAGGUACAUUUCUUUUGAAAUCUGAUCUGAAAUGUCUCAUUAACUCUAUUCGUAGAAUAGUUUGAGCUUGUUUAUCACAAAGAAUGAAGAUGUUGCUUGUAAAGUUUGUCCUAAUAAAAUUCAGGUGAACACUACUGAUGAAAGAUUACAUUAUAUUAGCUACAGAAUCUUCUUUCCUCACAGGACUGUAACAGUGAAAGCAGCUGGAAAAAAAUUGUAAUUUGAAAAAAAAAAAAUUGAUAUAUAGCCUGUAAAAGCCAUGAUAAAAGCCAAUGCUGGAAUGUUACAGUUUUGCCAGAUAUUUACAGUUUAAACUUCAUAGAUACUUUCAUUAAUGCCAAGAUCCUAAUAGGAUAUCCUGCCUUACAAUUGGUUAUGGUAAAGAUACAAAUAGUAUGAUGCACUUGUUCAUGUUUCAAGGGAAUUGUUUAAGCUCUCAAUAGUCCUCCAACUAUUUAAAAAUACGUAAUAUUUUAAUGGCAGAAUUCAACAUGCAUCUUGGCUUUUAAUUUGUGUGCAUAAUAUAUCAUUUACUUGAGGGAAAUGUGAAGUCUUCUGUAAGAAUAUCAAAGAUAUAGAUAAAUGUUAAGUACUUUCAGUGCCACCUAUUGGCUGAUAAAUUAUUUGAUUUAACCACAAACAUAAGCUUCCUGAUUUUGGACAAUGAAAUGAGAUAGGGCCACUUAUACUAGUAUUUCUAAUUUGUACUGAAAUUGAAACUAGAAUCAGUGUCUUCCAUCACAAGCAAGGAGCUUAUCCUGUCUCCAAAGAAUUUAAACAUUAAGCACUUAUUUUUUCUGCAGAAGGAGAAAAAAACAAAACAAAAAUAACCAUGAACAUAUCCUGUGCAAUGCUCCAGAGAGCUCAUGGUGGGACCAUUGUUCUAAAGUAUGUAGUGUAUAAGCAAGAUAGUGGAAGACGUAAAAAGUAGUCAAGGUGUCAUCUAAACCUCUCUUGUUAACCUGACGAUGUUUUUUGUUUGUCUGAACAUAUGGCCUAAUCAUUUUAGCCAUAGUUAGUUUCUCCUUCGUAAAAUUUAAAGCAAAAGCUGCUCUUCACUGCAUCGUGUAUUCCAAUUCUGCAAUAUGCUGAGCAAUGUAGUAUCUCUGAACACUGAAGCUUGUCCUUAUGUUUUCACAUUCACAAUUCAUCAAGAACUGAAGGAAUCUCGUUCAAAUGUGUACAACUAUACACAUGCUUAAAGGCCCUCACUGACCCAGACUGCCCUGCUGUGACACUGAAAUGUGGGCGAGCUGCCUGAAGCCUGUGAACUUUGGGCCACAAACUCAGGAGCCAUGACAGAGGUUGAGGCAACAAAGUGACUCAAGGCCUUAAAUACAUUUAAAAAAAUCUGUCCCAUAGGAUUUGAAAUGAAUUAGGUUUUUACUGGAUGACAACACAAUUCUUGGCCAAAGGACAAAAACAAUUGCAGAAUGGGAACAACGCUUUCUCCAGGCUAACACGGUGCAAAAAGCUAUGAGCUCUGGGGCUAAACUAAACCCUCCUGUUGGGGGAAGAAUCAUGAAUCACAAUAAUUAUUUAACAAAAUAAGAAAACUUCUGCCUUACAGUUCCUCUGAAUCCCGGCUUUCAAGCCCCUCUACCGGGGGAGAGCUGUUUCUAGCAUUCCCUGGAUUAUUUCAAAUCUCUGGAAAUUUGUGUAGCCCUUGUCUUCACUAAUCUUCAAGCCAUUGUGUUUGCUAUUUGAUAGCAGGCCAAACUGUCCCACUGGUGAUUCAAACUUAAUUUCCAUAUUCAAACCUAAUACCAGAUAGGCUAAAUCAGAAAUGAAUUUUAAAUAUGGAAGAACUUUACUUCCUGGUUAGGGAUAAAUUCAUAUGAGGGCAUCUAAUCUAUGUAGGUGACUGGCGAAAUUGGUAUAGCAGCUGACCUGCAAUAUUUCUGCCAGAGGUCACAAGAUUUUGGUGCUAUCAUAUCAAAACCAAAAUUCAUGUUUUGAUUAGUCUUCUAGAUAAAACCAAAUGUGGAUCUGAAUUAUGCCACAUCUUAUUUAAUGUCUGAUAUUAAAAAGUGACUCAUCUCUUAUGUAGUUUCUUUCAAAAAUGCUUUGAUUAUUAAUAGACCAAUUCAUAUAGUUUAACCAGCCUAUAAUUUCCCAAAUAAGACAUUUUUUUCCAUAUUAAAUUGUGAAGAAUUUAUCUCUGUGUAGAUAAAAUUUGCCAUAAAAAUUGCUUUUUUUAUAAUUCUUACUCUGGAAAUUUCCUUUUCCAAACAAACAAAAAUCAAGCAAGGUCUACAUUUCAGAUGAGGUUUGUACUAUUUUUUGACGUUUAUAUCAUUUGACUUAGAAACCCAUUCCUCCUGGUCCAAAUUCAAAUAAUUUAUAAUAAUGUUCUUAGUGAAAAACAAAUUAAUCAUUAAUCUCACCUGAUGACCAAACUAAAAUGUCAAUCAAAAAAAAAAUCAGUAACUCCAUUUAACAGGGUUUUUUUGGGUGAUGCUACCUGCUGAAGUAUUACAAAGUUCAAAAUAAAUUAACUCCGUAUGGCAUUACCUAUGUUCAUUUCUGACACUUUGGUCUCAGGUGUGAUGAUUUUAAAUUUCUGCAAAUGUUUACUGGAGUUAGUCACCUCAGAUCACAAUAGCAAUAUAAUUCUGGAAGUAAUUUGCUAUCAGUAAGACUCUCUAAAAGUAUGCAGGUGAAUGCUACUUUCUUAAAACAGUGGUUCUGGGCUGUGUCUAUAACACAAAGAAAGUAUGUAAAGAUACAGUUCACUCUGCUAAAGAGUUCUCUCAAUCAAGCUAUGAGCUAGCUGGAAAUAAAGAAAUAAAAAUUCAGUAUAAGUCUAUUAUUUCCUGCAUGCCAAACUGUUAACACUUUGUUCUCCCUGCAGUUCUUCGGUAUGUUAACUGCUGCACAGAUUAAGCUGGUCUACAGUGGAAUUUAGCGAGGUAGUUUUGUGCCUCUUUUCACUCCAAACUAUGAUUCUAAGUCACAGUUUGGUAUUUGUAUUUUACCCAGGACAGUAUUACAAUGUCUAUUACAGUGCAUUAAGUAAAACAAACUCUUUUAAAAUUUAUUCCUGAAUAUCUUAUAAGAGUUGAGUUGGAAUUCCAAACUUUCAGAAAUUGCUAUGUACAUUUGGAGCUGAACUAACCUUGGCUCAAAGUUUGGGUUUUUUUUAAUUUAUUUCUGGAAAAGUGUCUCUAUUCCAAGGUUUCUUUGAGAAUAUUUUAACUUUAUUUCUGUUUAAAAUCACCUGAAAGCAGUUCUCUGUUUUGAAGAGCCAAAUCAUUUAUUUGCUUUAGAUUAACACAUUACAGCGGUUGUAUUUCAAAAUGAUGUUCUCUGGAUAUGUUUCAUGUAAUGUUGCUGGCUUAUUAAGUACAUUCUAAAAAAGAUUCAGAAGUCAUUCUUUGAUAAAAGAGCUAAUAAAUUCACAGUUUCAUCUGAAUAUAAAAAUAAAUAUUUGUUAUAAUUUGAAAAGAUUAUGUUAGAGAAAAAAACUCAAAUGUAUAUUUCUAGACAGCUUGAUUAUUACGUCCUGCAGCUGUGUCACCUGCGUCUUUUUGUGCAGAUUUAUUUUGUAGAUUUAUGAAAUAAGCAACAUUCCAGAGCCAGUGGAUAGGAUGAUGAUGCAUUUUUGGAGUGGAAUGAUUCCUUUAACUCUUGUGUAAAGUGGCUCCUCAGUCUCCUGAGUACCAACAGAGAGACUAGGCUCAUUAUUUAUUGCUAAAGUGGCAGACUACUUAGUACAUGUACCUUACAGUGCCAUUACAAUGACACAUCACUAGAUGUACUGUUUGCUAUGGCCAUGAGCUCUUCAAAGUAGGAAUUGUUGGUUUAUUUAAAUAGUAGCCUAUUUUUCUGUGAAAAAUGAUUAGUAAUGGGCCGUUGACUAGGAAAAAAAAUCCUUGAACCUUUGGAGCUGCUUAUACUAACAGCUGGUUUAGUAAAACAACAUACAACAGCAGGUUUCAGUGCGGUAGUGUACUUAUGGGACUUGAGUCUCUUCUAUGCUUGAUUCUGGACGUAAAAUGAUAAUGUUUAUUUUAUGAAUUUGCUAUGAUACAGAAUUCCCAUGAAAAUUCUCAUAAGCAAUUAUUUAUAAAUGAAAAUGUACUCUUCUUGGGUCUUUAUUAAUAUAUUGGAGUAUAUUAAUUUAUCAGCUGAAAAGCAAAUGAAAAGACGCAAAGGGAAAAGCAAGCCCUAGGAAACAAAUAAAUAUAGAUCAAGGACAAACAUUAUUCUUAACUGAAAGCAUACUUCAUAUUUUGUUUUGCUCCAUGUUUGCUUUAUAACUCUCUAGUGCUGUCCUGUCAUUCAUUCAAAGAAAGCCAAUGCAAAUAUCUUCAAGACAAACAACAAUAACAUUGUUUAUAAGACUAGGUUCAUCUUACUGAACUUCAGCUACUUUAAAGUUAAAUAUCUAGUCUAAACUUCUCAAUAGUUCACUCACUAUAGGCAGCAAAUAAAUAGAGAAGAACCCUUUAGAGAGCAGUUCUGCUAGAAUGGGGGUGAAUUGCCCUCUGGAGGUAACUAUCUGUCUAUUUGUGUUUGCCUCUAUCAGUUAAAGUUAGAUGAGAUUGAGUGUCUUUCCCUCACCUUUUGCUCGGCCACCUCAAGCUUAUUGGAAUGAGUGAGUAUAGAAGAAUUUCACGUAUCCCUUUCCUUUUUAUUCAUAUUUUAUGGAAAGACAGUUCACAUUUCUAUCUAUCUCAUUCUGAUGUGAACUAUUAAUUCUUUUUUUGCUAUGUCUAUCCUGUAUAUGUUGAGACUGCGUUACUGUCCUCUAGAGCCACUAACUUUUUUUGCAUUGCCCAUUGAAGCAAAACUUCUAAUAUAAUCAGAAUUGUAAGUGAAAGUAUUAUUCCACUGUAAAGAUGCCAAAAAAGACACACAAGGGCUACAUAUUCACUUAUUUUAUUGAUUAAUUCAUUGUAGAAAAAUCUAUUUUGCAUGGUUUUAUAACAAAAAGAUAAAAAUCCUACUGGUGCUAGUAGUACAGUGGUAUUAGUUAUUGCUUUUUGUUAAUAACAAUUCAAUCCCUUGUUAAAUAAUCCCUCUGCCUACCUGGAUUCAUAAUAGUAUAUUUGGGAACCAGACUUUUAUCUGGGAGCCAGUGGUGGAGCUGUCACUCUUGAUGAUUAGUGAAGUAUAACUUGACUCUUUUCAGAUUUUGCACUGUCUUGUAAAAAAAAGAAAAAUGUAUUUUAUAUUUGCACCUAGGCUUUGUAAUUGUUUAAUGAACUGAUUCUAAGUUCUACAAUUAAAGAAACAUUUGUCAUUUCAUUACUGUGUUGUUCAAGGUUGAAGAGGCAUUUGAUCAUCAUAAUUGAGUGACGGAUUUUAGCUACAGCGAUAAUCAAAAUAUACAUAGACUAUUUAUGUAGCAUCUUUCGUCAGAGGGCCUUUUCCAAAUUUAUAAUCCAUGUACAAACUUAGCAUUAAUAAAGUGUUAAGGUUAAGCAAUCAA